AGCUACAGGAAGAAUGGAGAACGAGGGAGAGACGUUCUUUCCACAUCUGAGCUGACUGGCGCAUGCAGGCGGGCUGCCGCUCCAGCUCUCUCUGCCAAGACAGCUAUCUUUCACAGAGCUGUCAGCGGUGUGACUGGCAGCCUGUCACUGGCUCUGCACACCUCCUUCUCCCUCUGCCUUCCCUCCGCCUCGGGUUGAACCUACCACAAGACUCGGGGAGAGCAGACAUGCCGUCUGUGCCACAGUGCCACGCCCAAGGGAUAUCAGCUGCGGAUGGUACUGUGACAUCUUCUACGAUUUGAUGCGUGUCGUCAGUCAUGACCCGUCAAAAAGGAUCUCAUGGAGAAGAGGUUGGCUAGCAUGGUCGACAGGCCCUGGGCCAGACAGCUCUGGGCUAUGAAGCCUGCCUUCAGCUCAGCCAGGCAGAUAGCAUCGUCACCCUCCUUCCAGUUCCAGCUUGGAAUGUUCAGCAGAUGGGCCUUCAUCGCAAGACAGACAGAAGAGGUCACAAGACACAGAAAACUGAGCAAAUGAUUCAUAUUAAGGAAUACUUCAAAAUUGUGGGAAAUAUACUUAUUUGGUCUCUGGCGGAAAGUUAGCUUUAGAUGAGAAGAUUGAUACCCAUGUCUGCAUGGUAAAUGCCUUUUCUGGCAUUCCAUUGUAGCACAUUUUCUGUAAGACAUUUGUAUUGUAGAUUUGACGGUUUCCACAUUUUUCCCCCACAUUUUUGUUAAUACAAUAUUUUGUCCACACAAGCUUAUUUAUUAUUAUUGUUGUUGUUAUUAUUAUUAUUAGCUUAUUUAUUUAUAACACGACUAUUUUUCAAUGUGCAUUGUUUUUUUUCUUUUUGAGGAUAGGCAACACUGGAGAAACUAGCAAGGGAAUCCCCCAAAACAUAUUUUCAUGCUAAAAGAGUGCUCGGGUGUGCACAGGUAGGCAGGUAGGUACGUUGGUUGCAUUCGGACAGAAUAAACUGUUAUUACAGUCCUGCGACAGCCACAGACUCUGUAUUUUUUGUGUCACAACAUUUGAUUUAUUAAUUGCUGUCGGAUUAUAAUGAGA